rnacentral:rRNA from 1 species
UACGUAGGGUGCGAGCGUUGUCCGGAAUUAUUGGGCGUAAAGGGCUCGUAGGCGGUUUGUCGCGUCGGGAGUGAAAACACCGGGCUUAACUCGGUGCUUGCUUUCGAUACGGGCAGACUAGAGGUAUUCAGGGGAGAACGGAAUUCCUGGUGUAGCGGUGAAAUGCGCAGAUAUCGGGAGGAACACCGGUGGCGAAGGCGGUUCUCUGGGCCUUACCUGACGCUGAGGAGCGAAAGCGUGGGGAGCGAACAGG